UACGUAGGGGGCAAGCGUUGUCCGGAAUCAUUGGGCGUAAAGAGCGCGUAGGCGGUAACUCAAGUCAGAUGUGAAAUAUCCGGGCUUAACCCGGAGGGGUCAUUUGAAACUGAGUAACUAGAGUACAGCAGAGGAUAGCGGAAUUCCCGGUGUAGUGGUGAAAUGCGUAGAUAUCGGGAGGAACACCAGUGGCGAAGGCGGCUAUCUGGCUCGAUACUGACACUGAGAUGCGAAAGCGUGGGGAUCAAACAGG
rnacentral:rRNA from 1 species